ACUCCUGCGGGAGGCAGCAGUGGGGAAUAUUGGACAAUGGGCGCAAGCCUGAUCCAGCCAUGCCGCGUGAGUGAUGAAGGCCCUAGGGUUGUAAAGCUCUUUCACCGGUGAAGAUAAUGACGGUAACCGGAGAAGAAGCCCCGGCUAACUUCGUGCCAGCAGCCGCGGUAAUACGAAGGGGGCUAGCGUUGUUCGGAUUUACUGGGCGUAAAGCGCACGUAGGCGGACUAUUAAGUCAGGGGUGAAAUCCCGGGGCUCAACCCCGGAACUGCCUUUGAUACUGGUAGUCUUGAGUUCGAGAGAGGUGAGUGGAAUUCCGAGUGUAGAGGUGAAAUUCGUAGAUAUUCGGAGGAACACCAGUGGCGAAGGCGGCUCACUGGCUCGAUACUGACGCUGAGGUGCGAAAGCGUGGGGAGCAAACAGGAUUAGAUACCCUAGUAGUCCCAUGAU
rnacentral:rRNA from 1 species